rnacentral:rRNA from 1 species
AUUGAGUACUUCAUUUUAAAUUGGGCAGAAAUGCCCCGCAAACACAAAAACAACUUUUUUAAAAAUUUUAAUCACACCGAUAACUAAAUUAUCAAAACUUUCAACAACGGAUCUCUAGGUUCUCGCAACGAUGAAGAACGCAGCGAAUUGCGAUACGUAUUGUGAAUUGCAGAUUUUCGUGAAUCAUCGAAUCUUUGAACGCACAUUGCGCCCUGUGGUAUUCCACAGGGCAUGCCUGUUUGAGCGUCGUUUCCUUCUCAAGCCGCGAGGUUUGGUGUUGGACGUGGCGGCAGCCGGUCUGAAAUAUUUUGUGGAGCGUCAGUUUUCUGAGGCUAGUGUCUAGCGAUAUUCACGAGCUUUCAAGGAGAAAUGAGACAAUCCAAGUAAUAUCACAGCAAUCGACCUCAAAUCAGGUAGGACUACCCGCUGAACUUA